UACAGAGGUCUCAAGCGUUGUUCGGAUUCAUUGGGCGUAAAGGGUGCGUAGGCGGCUGUGUAAGUCUGGUGUGAAAUCUCGGGGCUCAACCCCGAAACUGCACUGGAUACUGCCUUGCUCGAGUACUGGAGAGGAGAUUGGAAUUUACGGUGUAGCAGUGAAAUGCGUAGAUAUCGUAAGGAAGACCAGUGGCGAAGGCGAAUCUCUGGACAGCAACUGACACUGAGGCACGAAGGCCAGGGGAGCAAACGGG
rnacentral:rRNA from 1 species